CUCUCUACAUUGUGAAAACCACAAUAUUGGGCUGGCCUUUCAUGCUGAGUUUUCAGAUUGUCAUAUUCCAGAUAUUUGAUUUGUUACUGAGGGAGCUGCAUGUAAGGGAAGGCUUUUUCCAAACCAAGGUGUUCCACAGUAAGCAUUUAAGAGUGUCAGAACAGAAAUUCCUAAUGCUGCUUAAUGAGGUUUUAAACAUUCAGUCAGGUGAGAGCACUAGUUUUGAGAAUCUGUCAGUCCAUGCCCACGACAUUAAUACCAGCUUAGUUGUACCACACAUGCUUUCUCCAUUGCUAACAGGUUGGUGAUGUGUUAACCAAGUGGUGUUUGUGUGGGAGAAGGUGAAUCAAGGAUCAUUAAACUGUCAUGACAUCUCUCUGUGGAAAUCAGACCAAAUUUAUUGUAAAGGAAACAAACUGGGAAAAAAAAAAAAAAAAGAAAAAGACAGAACCAUUUUUGGCCAUUGCCAAAUUCUUGAAAUCUUGGUCUCGGGAGACAAAGAGGUUCAGGAGGGGCAGCAAAAGGAAGAAUUGAGGAAUGUAAUGAAGUCACAAUGAAGUCACAGAAAAGUUACACAGGGGACCAGGAGACUGGAGGCAAUGUCAGUGAUUCAAAGCUGAUGCCAUGGGAGAGUGGGGAAACAUGGAAAGGAGCCGUGCAGAGCAGAGAGAACAAGGCAGGGCAGAAAUGAAAGUGGAAGAGUCACUCCUUGUAAACCACUGAACAGCCACCAGACUGCUGUGACUUCUGGAUUACAUUCAACAUUUCACAGAUUUUUCAAUAGUCUUUGGAUUUUCAAAUUAAACUGCAUCAGCAAGCAUUUUAUCUACAGUACCAUCAACACAUUUGGGAAAUGAAACUGCUGUUCAGUUCCCAAUUAGUCCAUGGCUCCUCUAUUAUUUCACGUCACACCAAUAAUAAAUCUGCGAAUAACCAUUUUUGCUUUAUUUCUGACACAGAAUAA